AAAUGAGGCUGAAUGAAAAGUUUCAAUGCCAUAUAAUGCUACGCUGAUAGCCAGGUGUGGAGGAUUCACUCCAUGUGUCACGGAUCCCCCCAGUACUGCUGCUCAUUCCUUUCACCAGCUCCAGAGGUCUAUGUCACCGGUCUUCUAGGUGUCACUGAACGGACUCAUUACCACCAACACUGGACUGUCUUGUCUCAUUACACACACCUGGUUCCCAUUCCCCCUGAUUAGAAUGUGUAUAUGUGUGCCCUCUGUUACCAUGUCUGUUGGUCUUGUUAGCACCUGUGCUGUCGUAUUGGCUUACAUGCUACGUGUUAUUGGUUUACGGCCCGUGUAUUAUUUUGAGGUUUACACCUUACGCUUUUGUUUGGGUGGAGAAAAUAAAAAAACACUUUCUUAUUCCUGCACCUGUCUCCGCUCAUUAUACAACGUGACACCAUGGUGCUGUAAAGAAAGUUCUGCUGUUGGGACAGCUUUAUUAUGGAGGAUUCGGACUACUUUGAGCAGUUCCCAGAGGAUGAAGAUGAAGCGUCGACUACGCCGGUGCCAGAGAUGGUGAAGCCCACUCCUGUGUGCCCAGUCAUUCUUCAACGAGAGCUCGACUUAGAGACUGCCAAUGACAGACCUAUUUCUCCUCUCCUAGCCAACCUUCCAUCAGCAGAUGGAACACUGUCCAGUACCACUGUAUCCCUGGGUGAACAAUAACCUCAUGUGCCUUCCACAGCACAAAUCAAUGAAGUGCUAUCCAUACCUGUAGCAUCCCAAGUCAACCAACUGACAACUGAACUUUCACCGGAACUGGACUGUGAAAUAGCGAAACUCAACGACCAACCCCAGGAGGAGCCCAAAGAUAGAAGUACCGCCACACCUCUGAGCUGGUCUCCAACAUCACUCCACAGCAGCAUGGCUGAAACCUUAGAGGCCGAGGAGAAGCAGGAGGGAGGAACCUCCACCCUGACUCAGAACCACACAUUGAACCUGACCCACCUCACACAGAGAUCCAAGCCAACAUGCCUUCACUGGAAGAUGUUUCAUAUCAGUGUGCAUCCCGCAACACCAGAAGUAGUGGCGGAGGAGGAAGAUGUAGAGGAGGUGCCUCAGCAGGGGUCGAAGGUGGAGGCGGAGGAUCCAAGGCAGGAAGCAGAGAACGAGACAGAGGACAACAAAGUCCUUCAGAAUUCAGGAGCCAAGCACCAACUUCCCAAGUCUCCUAGAACAUCCCUCAGAUCCCACCAAUUAUUGAGUUCAGUAGAACAGAAGGUAGCAACUCCCAGAUAGAGGUUUCCCUUGAGGCCUCCCCAUCUCUCCCAGAAGUGAUGCUAAGCAGCUGACGUAAAUGGAUGAUGGCAUGGCCAGAGAAGUUUGAGUCUUGAUUAUGGAGGAUACAGGGCCCAGGCUCAAGCGCUCCCAGGCAGAUUGGGAAGAGUUUCCCGGUGUAGUGGCCACUUGCUGUCUUUUGAAGUCACAGACAACACCUCAGCUUCAUCCAUGACUAGGGUUGCACAUUUUGGGGAAUAUUCAGAGGUGGAAACUUUCCUUGGGAAUAUGUGAACUAAUGGAAAUAUGGGAAUUAAUAUCAAUACCAAUUAAAUAUAGAUGUUUUUUGCAUUGGAUAUAUUUACCAUAUAUGGAGACAUAAUUGCAAAUUAUUAAAU